CAAAAGUUUGAUUCUUGCUUGUAUUUUUAUUUUAUGAUUGUGUGUACAUGCAUAUUUUAAUGGGUAGAAGAAUAAGGGGUUAAAAGUUCCUUAAAAAAUAAAUAAAUAAGAUCGCAGUAUGAAGUGUUAAGGAUUGGGUUUGAGCUCGAUUUAGUAAAUUAUAAAAAGCUUGAUUAAAUUUUGUGCCAGCAGUCGCGGUUAGACUUAGAAGUUGAGUAAAAAUAUUUCAGUUGGGGUUAUUAAGAUCGUAGACUUUAAUUUGGAUUUUUGGUAAUAAAAGGUGAAAUUGGUUUAUUAGGGGUAAAUUUAAGUUAAAGAUUAGGAAUAGAGAGGCUCGGGAGAUCAAGGUAUAAACUAGGAUUAGAUACCCUAUUAUACUUGAAAGAUAAAAAUGAAACUUGAAUAUUAAGAGUUAUGAGCUUUAAAUUCAGAGAAUUUGGCGGUAUUUUAGUCUUGUUAGAGGAACCUGUUCUAUAAGCGAUACAACACGUAGGAUCUUACUUACUCUUGUUUUUAGCUUGUAUACCGUCAUUAUUAGAUAACCUUUAUUGGGUGAGUUAUUGAAUUAUAAAAAAUUAAAUAUAUUAGAUCAAGGUGCAGUUAAUGGGUAAGAAGAAAUGGGUUACAAUAAAAUUUGUUUAAACGAAUUGAUAAUUGAAAAACUAUUAUGAAGGAGGAUUUAAUUGUAAUAUAAAUUUAAUAAGUUUGUAUGGUAUGAGAACUAAAAUAUGUACAUAUCGCCCGUCGCUUCCAUUUAAGAUGGAAUAAGUCGUAACAUAGUAGGUGUACUGGAAGGUGUACCUAGAAUUAC
rnacentral:ncRNA from 1 species